rnacentral:rRNA from 1 species
AGUGAACGCUGGCGGUAGGCCUAACACAUGCAAGUCGAACGGCAGCACAGUAAGAGCUUGCUCUUACGGGUGGCGAGUGGCGGACGGGUGAGGAAUACAUCGGAAUCUACUUUUUCGUGGGGGAUAACGUAGGGAAACUUACGCUAAUACCGCAUACGACCUACGGGUGAAAGCAGGAGAUCUUCGGACCUUGCGCGAUUGAAUGAGCCGAUGUCGGAUUAGCUAGUUGGCGGGGUAAAGGCCCACCAAGGCGACGCUCCGUAGCUGGUCUGAGAGGAUGAUCAGCCACACUGGAACUGAGACACGGUCCAGACUCCUACGGGAGGCAGCAGUGGGGAAUAUUGGACAAUGGGCGCAAGCCUGAUCCAGCCAUACCGCGUGGGUGAAGAAGGCCUUCGGGUUGUAAAGCCCUUUUGUUGGGAAAGAAAAGCAGCAGGUUAAUACCCCGCUGUUCUGACGGUACCCAAAGAAUAAGCACCGGCUAACUUCGUG